UACGAAGGGGGCUAGCGUUGUUCGGAAUUACUGGGCGUAAAGGGCGCGUAGGCGGUACUUCAAGUCAGGCGUGAAAGCCCCGGGCUCAACCUGGGAACCGCGCUUGAGACUGGAGAACUAGAGUUCGGGAGAGGAUGGUGGAAUUCCCAGUGUAGAGGUGAAAUUCGUAGAUAUUGGGAAGAACACCGAUGGCGAAGGCAGCCAUCUGGACCGACACUAACGCUGAGGCGCGAAAGCGUGGGGAGCAAACAGG
rnacentral:rRNA from 1 species